UUUGACUAUACGAAGGUAUUGAAAUAAGAUUUUAAAUGAGUGCUAAGAGAAUGAUUAAACAAUUAAAAGCUUUCUUUAAUUGAAUAAUUGAAUUUAAUUUUUUAGUGCAAAAGCAAAAAUAAAAAUUAGGGACAAGAAGACCCUAUGAAUUUUUUAUUAAAUUUUAUAAAAAGUUUUAUAAAAUUUAAUUUAAUUGGGGUGAUGGAAAAAGAAUAAAUAUCUUUUUUUUAAAGAAAAUUGGUUCCGUUUUUAGCGAUUAAAUGAAAAAAAUACUCUAGGGAUAACAGCGUAAUAAUUUUGGAUAGUUCAUAUAGAUAAAAUAGUUUGCGACCUCGAUGUUGGAUUAGGAU
rnacentral:rRNA from 1 species